CCGUCUCCCCAACGGCUCCUCCCCGUUUUCUCCCAAAAGAAAGGAAAAAAAAGAACUCCUCCCCAUACGUCGCCGCCUCGCCUCUUUCAUCUCUUUCUCAACCCGCCAUUACUGCCGCCGUCUCCUUCCCAUCCGGGCCGAAUCGCCGCCGCCGCCGCCCCUUUCUCCUCAGGGCCGCUGCCUCCUCCUUCCCUGCAAUCUCCAGCUCUUCCGCUCCACUGGCAAUGGCGGAAACCCUCGUCCGCCUCCGGCUAGCCGCCUCCGCCGUCCAGCAGUAUCAAAUACGGCGGAAUCUUAUGUGCCACGCGGGCCCACUAUCGUCUCAGCCCGUUCCGUCGCGGCCGACUGUGCCUCCAGGCGGUGGUCGCGGCGGAGGUGGACGAGGACGACGCGAUGAGAAUCGACAACUUGUGCCGCUUCUUUGACCUCAACGUUGGCAAGUGGAACGGCUUCUUCUACGUAUGUUCUCCGGCCUUUUAGUCUUGACUUUUCAUGUUUCUGGGUUUGUAAUUUGGUGGCCAAGUGCUGUUUGUGUGUUUGCCUCUGUUGAUCUGUUCAGCAAUUCGUUGUGCAUGGGAGGGUGCUGCAGGGAAUUAGCACGCGGCUGCCCGUGAGCACAUAUGGGGAGGGAAAAUCGUCUCUCUCAGUUGAAUAUUGUAGAUCAACAUAAAUAUAAGCAAGUAACAGAGAUGGAAGGAGACACUACCAGGUACAAGUGAAAAUACUCACAAUAAAGGCCUAAGAGGUCAUACUAUGUACCUUCAGAUAUCCCUCAGAUAUUAUGCUAUUUGAUUUCUUUCCUAUAUGGUACAUCGAGGGCUGUAGUUCCAUCAUUUUGUUUGGCCUAUAAUCUGCUGGCUAUUAUGGAAUGAGAAGAAACAAAAGGUAAGACGCUGAAUUGUCCUAGCUAUUUUGCCCAUUUUUUAAUGAACAAGUGGCUGAUAAUUUAGCACGAUCCAUUGUUGUCUUCUACAAGUUUUGAAUAAAGUAAUGGCUGAUACCCUUAGAUAUUAUACUAUUUGAUUUCUUUCCUAUAUGCAAACAAUGAAGGAUAUAUAUAGUUAUGGUACAUUGAGGGCUGGAGUUCCAUCAUUUUGUUUGGCCUCUAAUCUGCUGUCUAUUAUAGAUGGAGAAGGACAAAAAAAGGUAAGACGCUGAAUUAUCCUUAGCUAUUUUGCCCAUUUUUGAAUGAACAAGUGGCUGAUAGUUUACCACGAUACACUAUUGUAUUCUUCAAGUUUUGAAUGAAGUAAUGGUUGAUAAUUUACCAUUGAUUUUCAAGUCAAACCAUCUAAAUCCUCCUAAUUCCCGCCUGAACACGUGGGGUAUCAUCUAGUAAUUAUAAUUUAGGUGCCCAUUGUAAUGAGCUCUCAAGAUGGGUUUCCAUGGCUUUCUGAUAGAUGGACUGUGGUUUUGUCUUCUGUUUGGGGAAUCAAGGAAGUAAUAAUUUCUGUCAACAUUCCAAGGUAACCACAUGUAUCUAUCUGUUCUCUUUUGGACUAAUAUAUGGCUAAAUAGUGUUUAUUUAAUCGUGAAAUAACUGUUUCCCUCCACGCGAGAUGUUAUUUCUUAUUCUCAUCUCUACAUGGAGUACUAUUUUUCCACAUAAUGUUAUAUUUACUAAACUAGCAGAUCGUCCAUAUGAGAUUGAAGGGAUACCAGAUGGAGAACCAGUAGAAGCAUUUUUCUAUCCACUACAUUUAGUUACUCGAGUUUUCUUGAUUAUGUUGUACUAAGUGUUAUCGAACUUUUUUGGCCAAGAAAAGGUUAAAAGCCCUACAACAUUUGGUUUUGAUUAUGCUUGGCCUGAAUUAUCUUGCUAGUUGCAUCUUAGGUUCAGGGUUCACCAGCAUACAGAUCCUCAUACACUACUAAAAAGGAUGUACGGCAUUGUUGAGUAAAUUUUGGUAAACCAUAUCAGUUGUAUUUUGUGUGGCUAUAGGUAUUUUGAGCGAAAUGUUGUUAUGACAUCUACCGUCUCACAUAUCUAAUUUUCUCUACUCUUGUGAUUGUUCUUGAGUUUACAUUCCUUAGUUUUUUUUUACGAGGGCUGAAUUUAUUGUGGUGUUCAUCUGUGCUCAUUUUUCAUGCUAUCAAUCAGCAUAUAUAUAAACACUGUGUAUUAAAACUUAUUACGUCAAGACACUCUAAAUUUCUGCAUCUUCGCGAGUCAAUCUGUCAUGGAUUUUUUUUUUUAAUCUUGGAUGAAGGAAUCGAUGGAUUUUGUUUCCUGUUUACUGCUCGAGUCUUGCCUUUUUUCUUGCUGUUAAAUUUGCAAGCUUCCAUAGUUCUGCCUUGGCUGUUGCUGUCAAUUUUUCUGGGCAGUGGUAUGAAUCCAGCUUACAAAGCGUACAUGCUCAUGUGGCCCUCUACUAAAAAAAAAGCCACAAUUUUUGUUGUUCAUGUUUUUGUAGCUGCCAUUCUGUUUAUUUGUGUUCGCAAUAAUUGUUGCCAAUCUUGUACUCCCUCCGACCGGUAUUACUUGUCUCAACUUUGCCCAAAUACGGAUGUAUCUAUGUGUAAAAAGUGUCUACAUGUAAUAUUUCGACAAGUAAUUCCGGCCGGAGGGAGUAUAUAACUUACAGCUUAUGGCAUUGAAAGAUAGAGGGGGCGAGAGAGAGAGAACAGUUGUGAUGGUUUUUUUUUUGUCAUUUAGAUGAUGAGGAUUUUAAACUAACAUAGUAUCUGCAUUUCAGAGUGUCAUGAAGAAUAUACCUUACGAGCUAAAUCUUUUUGGCUGGGCACAAUGUAAGCAGGGGUAUUACCACCUGACCCCAAGGAUGGAUUUAAGCUUCUCGUGAAGCACCAACAACCAGUUACUGCCAUUGCUUAUUCCAAGCUCCAAGGGUAGUGAAUUAGUGAUAAAGGUUUUUCAGCAUCGAAAGAUGGUGUCAUGGUCCAACGGGAUGUUGAAACUGGAAAAGGUGAGAAGUACUUGUGCCCAAGUGAAAAAGGUAUUGGUUUCUCAUCAUGCUAAACCACCUCUGUCAGCUAAAGGAAGCAAAACAAGUUCUGGCUUUAGCUGUCAGUUCAGAUGGUCAUUACUCCCUCCGAUCCACAAUAAGUGUCUCAGAUUUAGUACAAAGUUGUACUAAAUCCGAGAGACACUUAUUAUGGAUCGGAAGGAAUACUUGGCAAGUGGGAGCAUAUACAGUUAGAGAUGACAGGAGAGUUGGUAACAGUUUUUGGGAUGGAACUUGAAAAAUGUUCUGUUUUGUUAGUUUAGUGAAGUUAUAAAUUAUUUAUAUUCUGUGUGACCAUACAUUGUGGUUUCUUUACUAAGGUGUACUAUGUUACUAGUGUGAGAUUAGAGACCUGAAAAGAACAACCAGACGAUGUGUAGGCAAGAGUAAUGCAACAUCUACAUGGCAACAUCUAAUUUUGGAUCAACUACGGCAUGGCUAUUUAACAUCA